rnacentral:lncRNA from 1 species
AGAUGGCUGAGAAAGAGAAGGCAGAGGUUGAGAAGGUACUAGCUGAAAAGGCAGAGGAUGAGAAGGUAGAGGCUGAAAAGGCAGUGGCUGAGAAGGUGGAGGCUGAGAAGGCAGUGGCUGAUAAGGUGGAGGCUGAGAAGGUAGAGGGUGAGAAAGAAAAGGCUGUGACUGAUCAAGAGGAGAAGGUAGAGGGUGAGAAAGAAAAGGCUGUGAAUGAUCAAGAGGAGAAGGUAGAGGGUGAAAGGCAAAUUUCAAUUCAGUACGAGAGAAAAUCGAGAAAGAUAAAUGCAGAAGUACAAGGUGAAGAAGAAGUUGCAGGAGAGGCUUAACAGAAUAAAAAGAUGAAGCUUAUAGGUAAGAAAGGGAAGAAGGGGUCUACUGUGGUCAUUCGGAGUCCUAUAAUUACAAGGUAGAAGAAGGAGCAGAAGAACGAUUAAGGUUGUUUAUGAGUCAUAUGUGAACUCUUUGUGUUGUUGGUUUUUUGUUAAGUUCGAGUACACCUUGGUUUUUAUUUAAGUACAACUUGAUCGGAAUGUUUGAUGAACUCUUU